CCUUAAGCAUCAUCAUCCCAAGCUGAUGGUCUCGGAGAUCCCUCCGUGUCACCUUACGUUGCUCGUUUUGCCAUAAUGGCACAGUCGGUGCUUCUUGUCUUCGAAGGUCACUGGUAAACGUGGCAAUCGAUGACGUUCAUCCCUCUUGGGACGAUCCAGAUGCUGAACAACGGACCUCGUUUCCUUCCAAGGAGAUUGAAGGAUUUGGUGACCCUGAGGGUAGGGUUAGGGUUUCUGGUUCAUCAUCACAGCCAGCUGAUGAGGAGAAACCUCCUAAGGAGUUU